rnacentral:rRNA from 1 species
UUGUUGGUUUGUCACAGCCAAGGUAAUGACUAAGGGAGACAGUCGGGGGCAUCUGUACUGCAGCGCUAGAGGUGAAAUUCUUGGACCGUUGCAAGACAAACAACAGCGAAAGCAUUUGCCAAGUAUGUUUUCAUUAAUCAAGAACGAAAGUUAGAGGUUYGAAGGCGAUCAGAUACCGCCCUAGUUCUAACCAUAAACGAUGCCAACCAGCAAUCUAUCAAGUGUUAUAUCCAUGACCUGAUAGGCAGCUUCUGGGAAACCAAAGUCUUUGGGUUCCGGGGGAAGUAUGGUUGCAAAGCUGAAACUUAAAGGAAUUGACGGAAGGGCACCACCAGGAGUGGAGCCUGCGGCUUAAUUUGRCUCAACACGGGGAACCUCACCAGGCCCAGACACUGGAAGGAUUGACAGAAUGAGAGCUCUUUCUCGAUUCGGUGGGUGGUGGUGCAUGGCCGUUCUUAGUUGGUGGAGUGAUUUGUCUGGUUAAUUC